rnacentral:tRNA from 2 species
UAGUGGUAAAACUAGCCUUCCAAGCU